GAUGAACGCUGGCGGCGUGCCUAAUACAUGCAAGUCGAGCGAACGGACGAGAAGCUUGCUUCUCUGAUGUUAGCGGCGGACGGGUAAGUAACACGUGGAUAACCUACCUAUAAGACUGGGAUAACUUCGGGAAACCGGAGCUAAUACCGGAUAAUAUUUUGAACCGCAUGGUUCAAAAGUGAAAGACGGUCUUGCUGUCACUUAUAGAUGGAUCCGCGCUGCAUUAGCUAGUUGGUAAGGUAACGGCUUACCAAGGCAACGAUGCAUAGCCGACCUGAGAGGGUGAUCGGCCACACUGGAACUGAGACACGGUCCAGACUCCUACGGGAGGCAGCAGUAGGGAAUCUUCCGCAAUGGGCGAAGGCCUGACGGAGCAACGCCGCGUGAGUGAUGAAGGUCUUCGGAUCGUAAAACUCUGUUAUUAGGGAAGAACAUAUGUGUAAGUAACUGUGCACAUCUUGACGGUACCUAAUCAGAAAGCCACGGCUAACUACGUG
rnacentral:rRNA from 1 species